UAAUCAAACAGUUGUUGUCAACAUUUUUUUCUUCGUUGUUGUUUAAGGUGCGUUGUUUUGAAGAAUUUGUCGGAUUUGUGUUAAGCUCGGGUUCAACAAUAUUAUUUCCGGAUAAGGAUACUGGUGGUUUUCUGAACACCGAUCAUUUUGGAAUCCAUUUUUUUCCUGAAUGAGAAGCUAACCAUUUUAAGGAAGCCUCCCCCCCCCCGAGAACAAACGUAAAAAAUCUGGGUGAUGGCUGUGAAAAGAAUUCUAGUUCAUAUUCCCAGAACGAAUUCCAAAAACAAACGGCGUGAAAGACGCCCUGUCACCUGGCAAAAUUUUCGGUUUGAAAACACCCCCUCGUCAGUGAACAGUUGACUUGUGCUGCUUGCCGUCCCGUUAAAUCAUGAAAGAAUAAAUUAUACGAAGAGCAUGUUACAUGCAACACCCAUUUUAGGUUUUGAUGGUGUCCGUGUGAGAGUUUUACUUCUUCUCGAU